UGAAGGAUGGGUGCACUCAUGGUGGCUUGGUGGCUUCUGGGAAGACUAUUGAAAUGCAAAACUCAGAUCUCAUAUCAAAAUCGGAGGAUCUAUACCCCAACUACUGAGAUGGAAGAAAGACUUCAGUUGUCAGCUUCUUACUGCCUUAGCUGAAGGCCACGCCCCUUCCAAAGGCUGCCUGCCUCCAGUGAUUGAUCUCUAUGGGGAUUUAAUAGCAUGGACAGCUCUGAAGAGACAGCUCUCAAAACUCCCUAUAGGCUGCAUCAUGAAUGCGUUCCAAGCCAGCCAUGAGAAUCUAAUUUUGACAAGAUCACCAAAAUUUUGGGGAGCUGAAAGGUCAUUAGAAGGGUCGUCAGUCCAUGGGAGAGAGCAGCUGGGAAGCCAUUGUGAAAACCAGUUAUAAUUUCAGAGAAGAUGCAGAAAGAAAGAGGAUCUUUUGGAAAACCUCAAUCAGCAUCUGCAAAUCAUCUACAGAAUCUAUGAAACCUGUCCAAGUGAAGAUGGCUGCUGCAGGCAACGCGAUUGCACAAUGUUCUUUCAUAUGCCUAAUCUCUUCUUUCUCAACAUAAGGCUUUAUACAUACAUGCCAUCAUAUCAUGCCAGAAUUUGUCAUCUCUACACUAUCACCUUUUCCUGAUGGGGUAAUGAGGAGAGUCUAGAUUCCUGUAGUUCAAGCACUGUGUCUAUUCUCCAGGUUAGCUAGAAGGUGAUUUCUCAAAAAUAGAGCCAUUUGUAAUUGUC
rnacentral:lncRNA from 1 species